UAAAGAGCAUACACCCAAUCUGUAGUUGUGUACUAAUUGACACCCAAAACCAACUCAUAAUGGUCAUUAUUAUGCAAGGAGGCCAUAAACCCAUUAAUAAAAUUAAGGGGUGCAGAUCAAAAUGCAUCUCAUAAGUAUUUUUAAAAAUAAAAAUAAAUAAAUAAAGCAAGUGAAAUGUAUCCUCUAAUUUUCUUACAAUAUAACCUGUUUGAUGUAAUUUUUCAGCUCAUUAUGGGCAUUAUUUUUUGCAUCCAAGCAACCAACCAAUGAAAAUUCCGGCUCCAACUGAUAACUGCGAUUGCAAGGUCAUUUUCUCACAACUUCAACAGAUGAUACUGCCUUGAACCAAAGAAGAUACACUACGCAAAAAUAACACCCCCAAUCAAUUGAUUACACCGAUGGAUGUUGCAUUGUGUAUUCUAGUGGUAUAUAGGCUUUCCCUUUGCCGUUCAUGGAUGUAACAACUGCAAGAAUUACACAGCCUCCAAGAACAACGAUUAACAUACCCAGUAAGUUCAACAACACUGCCUCAGUGGAAUAGCGCGAUAUUACAUGGUUGGUUUGUAAGAAUGUGGCUUUCUCCAGAAUUCCUGUACAAGCAGUGCCAACUGCAAGUGCAUAUGUAUAAAUCCCAAAGAACACAUGCCAGGGAAGCAGAGAAGCUCUGCUGCUAAUCGAGCCACCGGGAUACCAAAACAUUGAAAAGCCAGCAGCCCACUGCCAAAGGGUAAACCAAAAAAAAAACAAAAGAAAUUUAAUAAAUUGAAUACAAAGGGCCAAUGAUACAACAAGAACAACCGUAUCUUAGAAACCAGUUGAAGUCUGUCAAGCUAUGCAUACAAAUUGGCAUGCACAGCACAAACUUAUUCAACAAUCUGCAUGGCACACAUCACCGGUCCAUGUAGACAAUGUGGAUUUCAAACAUUUAGCAAUCCAUCCUAAAAAAUUGUAGGAUGAUUCCAGGUGUAACAUAACCAACACUUUUGGUCAGUGUCACUUAUAGACCUACAUAACCAAUAGUUUUGGUCAAUGUCACUUAUAAGACCUACUUGUUCAGAACUACUCACGCCAUUACUAACACAUAUACAUGUCACAGCGUGGUACAAAAGUUUGAAAAACCUUACAUGAGGAUAUGAAUGAUUGAAAGAGCAAAUAAAUAAGUUGAGGUUGCAAAAGGGAGAUGAAGAGUAAACAAACCUGGAUGGCAAAAAGGAAUAAACAAGCGAGACCCAGCCAAGAAUGCAAACUGUAGAAAUUGUCAAUGCCCUUCUCAUUGUGGAACUUAUAAGCAGCCCACACCCCUAUAGCACUCAAACCAAAGGCUAGAGAUUGUAUUGUUAGAUGUACCAACUUUCUGAAGCUUUUAGUCCCAGAGAGUGUCCUAUAUGCUAGCAUGG
rnacentral:misc_RNA from 1 species